UCACCCUUCUGCGUCUCCUGGUGCACCUGGGCAGACCUCAGCCCUCAAGAUGGCUUCCACGGCCCCCAAGCCCACGUGUGAUAAAGAAGUGUGUGAAGAGACAGCCUCUGGGCCCUACUAACCGUACCGUGCACCCCCGCCCCCUGCAACUGAACUCUGAAGGGCGCAGCUUGGAUCAGUAUUUAUGGAAGUCCUUUGUGAAAAUGCCAGCGCAUCCCAGCAAUGCCGAGAGGAACCAGCAAAGGGGUUUGUGUCUCUUCCUGGGCUCAAGCAGCCCAAACCUUACCCAUCCUUCAAAACCCAGCAGAAAUGUCACCUCUUCCACGAAGCCUUCCCUGACCUCCAGAUGAAGUUGGCUCUCUAAAGUACUUUAUCCCUGCUGAUCUCCUGAACCUUGUCACUUCCUUCUUCUCAUCGUGCCACCUGGGCUAGAUGUGGAACUCUACAGGGCAGGCCAGCUCCUGCUUAUCACCCCAUUGCAAGAGCUCUGGAACUACUUAGAUAAAGGGAGACUGAUGGAGAAGAGGGGUUCGCUAUGGAGCUGGACAGGUAGCAGAGCACUCAGAUCAGAGGACACAGGAGGGAUUCAGGAAACAUCAGCUGAAACGAGGCUCGGAAAAGCUGUUGCUUGCUUGCUGAAGUCCAGAUUGCAUUUGGGAUCAACGAGAAAAGACGCCUGUUUUUCUAGAGUCCUAGGGAACUGAGCAACCAAAGGUAGUGCCCUCACAGGACAGGGAGGCAUUGGCUGCUGGGAGAAUAAGCAAGAAGGGGAAAAUGGCGCCACCCUCCAUGUGGUUUGGGUAGCAGUUGUGGCAGAAAUAAAAAUCACUUAGUU